CAUUUCUUCAUAUUUUCUCAGCUAAAACGCCAUAGAAGGUCUGGAGAAAGCUGGUUUUUCAUAUUUUACAUCAUAUUGACUUGAAGUGAAGUGGGUAGAUCGGAUCAACACAACAGGGCACACUAUUCAGAUCAAUUCCGGUAGUUUUUGUUUUAUGUUUAAAGAUUUAUAUGGCAUGUAUAGAGUUUGAAUGAAUUGAAGUAAAGAUGUUAUAAACUAGUUAACAAUAUUUGUACUAAAACAGUUUUCGGUAAGUAGCAGUAGUUUGACUUUGAAAAA